rnacentral:rRNA from 1 species
ACCCACGACAAAUCUUACCACUCCUUGUAUAAUAAAUAUUUUCCUUAAGGGAUUGUUUUGACUUUGAGGAACUUUAAUUAAAUAAUAACAUAUAUACUUAUGAUAAGUCUUUAAACUUACUUAUAUAUAUUUGUAAUACGUCAUCUAAACUUAUAUUAAUAAUAAUUCAAUAGUUAUUAUUGAAUCGAUGACAUAAUUGUUGUUAAUGUGAUGGAUAGUAAUAAUAAUUAAAUAUUGUUAUGGGUGUGAGUAACAUUAGUAAUAAUAACUAAUUAUUACCAUUAUAAACCACAGUAAUAAUAAUUGAUUAAAUAAUUAAAUGGAAUGAAUGAUUAAGCAAUUAGUAAUUCAUUAAUAUUUAUUACAGGUGUUGCAUGGCUGUCUUUAGUUCGUGUUGUGAAAUGUUAGGUUAAUUCCGAAAACGAACGCAAUCCUUAUCUUUAUUUAAAACUAUAUAAAGAGGUAUCUUUCCAUAAGAAGGAAUAAUUAGGGUGAAGACAAGUCCUCAUGACCCUUAUGGAGUGGGCUACAGACGUGCCACAAAUAUUUCUACAAAGGGAAGCAAAGAUGAAAGUCUGAGCUAAUCCUCAAAAGAAAUAAAAGUACGGAUAAGAAU